GACGAACGCUGGCGGCGCGCCUAACACAUGCAAGUCGAACGGAGUCAAGAGGAGCUUGCUUUUCUUGACUUAGUGGCGAACGGGUGAGUAACGCGUGAGUAACCUGCCCUGGAGUGGGGGACAACAGUUGGAAACGACUGCUAAUACCGCAUAAGCCCACGGAUCCGCAUGGAUCUGCGGGAAAGGGAUUUAUUCGCUUCAGGAUGGACUCGCGUCCAAUUAGCUAGUUGGUGAGGUAACGGCCCACCAAGGCGACGAUUGGUAGCCGGACUGAGAGGUUGAACGGCCACAUUGGGACUGAGACACGGCCCAGACUCCUACGGGAGGCAGCAGUGGGGGAUAUUGCACAAUGGGGGAAACCCUGAUGCAGCGACGCCGCGUGGAGGAAGAAGGUUUUCGGAUUGUAAACUCCUGUCGUUAGGGACGAUAAUGACGGUACCUAACAAGAAAGCACCGGCUAACUACGUG
rnacentral:rRNA from 1 species